GCCUAAUACAUGCAAGUCGAGCGGACAGACAGGAGUGCUUGCACUCCUUGAAGUCAGCGGCGGACGGGUGAGUAACACGUGGGUAACCUACCUAUAAGACUGGGAUAACUUCGGGAAACCGGAGCUAAUACCGGAUAAUAUGUUUCACCUCAUGGUGAAACAGUGAAAGACGGUUUCUGCUGUCACUUAUAGAUGGACCCGCGGCGCAUUAGCUAGUUGGUGAGGUAACGGCUCACCAAGGCGACGAUGCGUAGCCGACCUGAGAGGGUGAUCGGCCACACUGGGACUGAGACACGGCCCAGACUCCUACGGGAGGCAGCAGUAGGGAAUCUUCCGCAAUGGACGAAAGUCUGACGGAGCAACGCCGCGUGAGUGAAGAAGGUUUUCGGAUCGUAAAACUCUGUUGUAAGGGAAGAACAAGUACGUUAGUAACUGAACGUACCUUGACGGUACCUUACCAGAAAGCCACGGCUAACUACGUGCCAGCAGCCGCGGUAAUACGUAGGUGGCAAGCGUUAUCCGGAAUUAUUGGGCGUAAAGCGCGCGUAGGCGGUCUCUUAAGUCUGAUGUGAAAGCCCCCGGCUCAACCGGGGAGGGUCAUUGGAAACUGGGAGACUUGAGUGCAGAAGAGGAGAGUGGAAUUCCAUGUGUAGCGGUGAAAUGCGCAGAGAUAUGGAGGAACACCAGUGGCGAAGGCGGCUCUCUGGUCUGUAACUGACGCUGAGGUGCGAAAGCGUGGGGAUCAAACAGGAUUAGAUACCCUGGUAGUCCACGCCGUAAACGAUGAGUGCUAAGUGUUGGGGGGUUUCCGCCCCUCAGUGCUGCAGCUAACGCAUUAAGCACUCC
rnacentral:rRNA from 1 species